rnacentral:rRNA from 1 species
CGGAGGGGGCAAGCGUUGUUCGGAUUUACUGGGCGUAAAGGGUGUGUAGGCGGCUGGAUAAGUCUGGCGUGAAAUCUUCACCGCUUAACGGGAAGGGGUCGCUGGAAACUGUUCAGCUUGAGUAUGGUAGAGGCAAGCGGAAUUCCUGGUGUAGCGGUGGAAUGUGUAGAUAUCAGGAAGAACACCGGUGGCGAAGGCGGCUUGCUGGGCCAUCACUGACGCUGAGACACGAAAGCGUGGGGAGCAAACGGGAUUAGAUACCCCGGUAGUCCACGCUGUAAACGGUGCGCACUAGGUGUGGGGGGUAUCGACUCCUCCCGUGCCGACGUUAACACAUUAAGUGCGCCGCCUGGGGAGUACGGCCGCAAGGUUG